rnacentral:rRNA from 1 species
UAGUUAGUUGGUGGGGUAAGGGCCUACCAAGGCGACGAUCGGUAGNUGGUCUGAGAGGAUGACCAGCCACACUGGAACUGAGACACGGUCCAGACUCCUACGGGAGGCAGCAGUGGGGAAUAUUGGACAAUGGGGGCAACCCUGAUCCAGCAAUGCCGCGUGUGUGAAGAAGGCCUGAGGGUUGUAAAGCACUUUCAGUGGGGAGGAGGGUUGAUAGGUUAAGAGCUAAUUAACUGGACGUUACCCACAGAAGAAGCACCGGCUAACUCCGUGCCAGCAGCCGCGGUAAUACGGAGGGUGCGAGCGUUAAUCGGAAUUACUGGGCGUAAAGGGUGCGUAGGUGGUUGAUUAAGUUAUCUGUGAAAUUCCUGGGCUUAACCUGGGACGGUCAGAUAAUACUGGUUGACUCGAGUAUGGGAGAGGGUAGUGGAAUUUCCGGUGUAGCGGUGAAAUGCGUAGAGAUCGGAAGGAACACCAGUGGCGAAGGCGGCUACCUGGCCUAAUACUGACACUGAGGCACGAAAGCGUGGGGAGCAAACAGGAUUAGAUACCCUGGUAGUCCACGCUGUAAACGAUGUCAACUAGCUGUUGGUUAUAUGAAAAUAAUUAGUGGCGC